UAGGGAAUCUUCCACAAUGGGCGAAAGCCUUGAUGGAGCAACGCCGCGUGUGUGAUGAAGGGUUUCGGCUCGUAAAACACUGUUGUAAGAGAAGAAUGACAUUGAGAGUAACUGUUCAAUGUGUGACGGUAUCUUACCAGAAAGGAACGGCUAAAUACGUGCCAG
rnacentral:rRNA from 1 species